GCUGGUGGUAACUAAGGUAUUGCAUCGCUCAUAUCACUUGAAAAAAACAUUUACCCUAGUUACGACCAAAGCUGCUUAGCAGAGGGCGAUACCUCAUCAGGAGCGCCACAAUCAUAUCAUUGGUGUGAAAGCAUUUGUAUGAAGUUUUUCAGUUCUCAAUGUGUUCAAAACCUUAAUUGUGAAAUUGUGCACUUCGAAUUCAAAUUCACGUCACUACGUUAGUUUGACAUCCAUUGAUGUCACGGUAAUUUCACUGUUAUGCUGUGCUGCUUUCAGGUUUAAUGACACAAAUGAGUACAAGUACAUUACAUUUUUCGACGAAGGCCUUCUGUAAUUUCAUACGCUUCUUACGCAACAUUCAAUAGAUUUAUUUACUGUAUUAUCAUUUCGACCAAGGCGAAUUCGACACUUCAAUUACACAAGCACAAUCAAACUUAGUCAUUCCAGUCAGUUACUGAAGCACAGCGAAAACUGUCUGAAUUAGUGCUGCUGAUGGCAUGUACUCUACUACCACUACCAGUGACAGUCAAUGUCCAUAUAUUUUCAAGUGUGCGAAAUUAGUACUCGUCUACUUCUUAGUGUUAUUUGAAUGCAAUGUAUGUUAUAAAAAUAUUUUUUCAACACUAUAUCAACAUUCUCAUUCCUGUCAGUUUCUGAAAAUCAGCUAAAGCAAUCGCUACCAAUGCAGCUGAUAACAGCAAUUCUUUUUGUUCCCAAUGCCCAUCCAUGACAAUAUAUUUCACGCAUGUGACAAUCAUGUAAUCAUCCUGUUUUUUGUGUUCUAUUCAUGCAAUAAAUAAAUUCAGUAUUUUCAAAUCAUUGGUGCUACAAAACUAUUCUCAUUAUAGAUUAUUCAUAUUUUAUAAAAUGCUGUCAUG